AUGUGUUUUUUGGCUGCAUGAAUGUCUUCUUUUGAGAAGUGUCUGUUCAUAUCCUUUGCCCACUUUUUCAUGGGGUUGUUUGUUUUUUUCUUGUAAAUUUGUUUGAGUUCAUUGUAGAUUCUGGAUAUUAGCCCUUUGUCAGAUGAGUAGGUUGUGAAAAUUUUCUCCCAUUCUGUAGGUUGUCUGUUCACUCUGAUGGUAGUUUCUUUUAUUUCUUUCUUUUCAACAGGUUGAACUUAUUUUUCACUAUAUGAAGCUAUAUAUAAAAUAAGAGAAAAUUCAGAACUCUUCAAUAAAUAGCAAUAAUUUAAAAUUAUGCUGAAGUUAGAGAUGAUUAGUUGCCCAAUAAUGUUUAAUUUGAAAAAAAUCAUGAAAUUAUAUAUUCAUCCAUCUGCCAAAUGUUUUGUUAGAGUGAUAGCAAUGAAUGUGUAUUAUGAGAAAUUUUGAGAGUUCUUGUUUUAAUAUUUGAAUGUUGAUUCACUAAAAACACAUGAGCAUAUUAAUGUAAACUGUUUAAUUUUUUCUCUUCAAAUAAAAUGUCAAUUAUUUUUUUCCCUGAAUAUUUUAACCCUUUCCAGAGUUUAAGCCUUACUAGUCACUGAUUUUUAUGAAAUAAUAUCCUUACUUAAACAAAAUUAAGUUAUAUAGGAAAUUGACCAUUUUUCAAUCAAAUUAGCCCAGGCUCAUAAUUUAACAAAAAGGUGCACUUUGCAUUCUGUUUAUUGGUUAUGUAUACAGGGAAGUGAAAGAACAUGGCCAGAAAUCAUUAACAGUGGGGUGUGUGUGCACACGUGUGGGGGUCUGUGCUAAGGUUUGAGUGAGAAUAAUAACAUGAGUAUUUAGCCUCUAAUAUUAGUUAAAAAAAAAAAAAACAGGGAUACUUUUCAGUAGUUUUUUAAAAAACAAAUAUGCCACACA
rnacentral:lncRNA from 10 species